CUAUAAUUGUCAGCUAAGUGGCGCACGGGUGAGUAAUGUAUAGAUAACCUGCCCUUAAGAAAGGAAUAACAGUUGGAAACGACUGCUAAUGCCCUAUAUGCCUUUAAUACAUAAGUAUGCAAGGGAAACGCUUUAGUGCUUAAGGAUGGGUCUGUAUGGUAUCAGCUUGUUGGUGAGGUAAUGGCUCACCAAGGCUAUGACGCCUAACUGGUUUGAGAGGAUGAUCAGUCACACUGGAACUGAGACACGGUCCAGACUCCUACGGGAGGCAGCAGUGGGGAAUAUUGCACAAUGGACGAAAGUCUGAUGCAGCAACGCCGCGUGGAGGAUGACACAUUUCGGUGCGUAAACUCCUUUUAUAUAGGAAGAUAAUGACGGUACUAUAUGAAUAAGCACCGGCUAACUCCGUGCCAGCAGCCGCGGUAAUACGGAGGGUGCAAGCGUUACUCGGAAUCACUGGGCGUAAAGAGCGUGUAGGCGGGUAUAUAAGUCAGAAGUGAAAUCCAAUAGCUCAACUAUUGAACUGCUUUUGAAACUGUAUACCUAGAAUGUGGGAGAGGUAGAUGGAAUUUCUGGUGUAGGGGUAAAAUCCGUAGAGAUCAGAAGGAAUACCGAUUGCGAAGGCGAUCUACUGGAACAUUAUUGACGCUGAGACGCGAAAGCGUGUGGAGCAAACAGGAUUAGAUACCCUGGUAGUCCACGCCCUAAACGAUGUACACUAGUUGUUGUGAGGCUCGACCUUGCAGUAAUGCAGUUAACACAUUAAGUGUACCGCCUGGGGAGUACGGUCGCAAGAUUAA
rnacentral:rRNA from 1 species